UACGUAGGGUGCGAGCGUUGUCCGGAAUUAUUGGGCGUAAAGGGCUCGUAGGCGGUUUGUCGCGUCGGGAGUGAAAACCCAGGGCUUAACCCUGGGCUGGCUUCCGAUACGGGCAGACUAGAGGUAUGCAGGGGAGAACGGAAUUCCUGGUGUAGCGGUGAAAUGCGCAGAUAUCAGGAGGAACACCGGUGGCGAAGGCGGGUCUCUGGACAGUUCCUGACGCUGAGGCACGAAGGUCAGGGGAGCAAACGGG
rnacentral:rRNA from 1 species